ensembl:lncRNA
UGUCAAUGUUCCUGAGGGCAUGCAGCCCUGGAAAAGAGAGCCAGAUGGCAGAGGCAAGCAGUGUGGAAUGUUCUUACUGAGGAAGACCUUCUCAAAGCUGAUGAUGUAAUAGGUAUGAAGGAGCAUUUCAUGGGAGUCACGGUCCCAUGCCCCUGUGUCAGGGCACACAGAGCUCCUUGCCUUGCAUCCUGCGUGAGAGGGGACCUGGAAUAUUCCCUGAUCCCCACAGGGUCCUGGAUUGCAUGGUUCUCCCUCAGUCAUGGUCCUCCCUGUGCCUCAUGGGGUACGCAGCUUCUACGGGCUGAAUUUAUAUCAGUGAUUAACUGGAGCUGGACCACAACCACACCACAGGCAAGCCAUGGGCACUGAGGACAUUAAGAGCAGCAGACAAUAUCUCCUCCGCUGCUUCUGACUCUGCUCCACAAGCCAAGGCAGCUCCCACACAGCAGGCAUCCAGCCUAACUCCCAGCAGGGAGAGUGUGAGAUGUCUGUGGAUGAGCCCACAGGGACUACAGGAUUCUGUGGGAAGACAUCUGGUAGCUUCUGGAGCAGCUGCAGCAGCCAGGACACAUGAACUACAGUGGAGUUCAGAUCCUCAGCUGGCCUCAUCACGGACAGUCCCAUGAGGAGUGGGUGUUUGUUUCCUGCUUCACAGUUAGGGCAGGAACAAGCCCAGACGCAGCUUACCAGAGCAUGAAAAUGAAAUGGCCACCUCCUGUAACAAGAAACACUUCUAGAAGAGGAAGGAGACAUCAAUACAUUCACAAAACCUUCAACUCGAAGUCUGUCUUGCCAAUAAGUGUGCAGGGAUAAAGACAGAAAAGUAGCACACAUGUCUCCAGAGGCUUCACUCGGCAGCUGAAAGCCACAGCCAAUCCUCAGAUAGAGCUCGGGAAGUCUUGUGGAAGAGUGGUGGGGAGAGUGACAAGGAAACUGGUUGGGUUAAAACACUACAAGAAGUCCCCUACCGUCAGAUACCUUGGACCAUGGAGUAUGCUAGAGCCUGU